rnacentral:rRNA from 1 species
GUGCGGAGCUUCCCGGAACGAAAGUCUUCCGGUUCCGGGGGAAGUAUGGUUGCAAAGCUGAAACUUAAAGGAAUUGACGGAAGGGCACCACCAGGAGUGGAGCCUGCGGCUUAAUUUGACUCAACACGGGGAAACUCACCCGGGCCGGACACCGCGAGGAUUGACAGAUCGAGAGCUCUUUCUUGAUUCGGUGGAUGGUGGUGCAUGGCCGUUCUUAGUUCGUGGAGCGAUUUGUCUGGGUUAUUCCGAUAACGAGCGANACUCUAGCCUGCUAAAUAGCGGAAGCAUUGCCUCGUGCCCACCGCUUCUUAGAGGGAUUGGCGGCUCCCAGCCGCACGAAACUGAGCAAUAACAGGUCUGUGAUGCCCUUAGAUGUCCGGGGCUGCGCGCGCGCUACACUGGCGAAGGCAGCGUGCCUGUCCUGCCGCGAAGGCGGUGGGUAAACCAUUGAAAAUUCGCCGUGAUUGGGAUCGGAGAUUGCAAUUAUUCUCCGUGAACGAGGAAUUCCAAGUAAGUGCGAGUCAUCAGCUCGCGUUGAUUACGUCCCUGCCCUUU